rnacentral:rRNA from 1 species
AUUGAACGCUGGCGGCAGGCUUGACACAUGCAAGUCGAGCGGGGUGAUGGUGCUUGCACUAUCACUUAGCGGCGGACGGGUGAGUAAUGCUUAGGAAUCUGCCUAUUAGUGGGGGACAACAUCUCGAAAGGGAUGCUAAUACCGCAUACGUCCUACGGGAGAAAGCAGGGGAUCACUUGUGACCUUGCGCUAAUAGAUGAGCCUAAGUCGGAUUAGCUAGUUGGUGGGGUAAAGGCCUACCAAGGCGACGAUCUGUAGCGGGUCGGAGAGGAUGAUCCGCCACACUGGGACUGAGACACGGCCCAGACUCCUACGGGAGGCAGCAGUGGGGAAUAUUGGACAAUGGGGGGAACCCUGAUCCAGCCAUGCCGCGUGUGUGAAGAAGGCCUUGUGGUUGUAAAGCACUUUAAGCGAGGAGGAGGCUCUUUUGGUUAAUACCCAAGAUGAGUGGACGUUACUCGCAGAAUAAGCACCGGCUAACUCUGUGCCAGCCGCCGCCGUAA